UACGUAGGGGGCAAGCGUUGUCCGGAAUCAUUGGGCGUAAAGAGCGUGUAGGCGGCUCGAUAAGUCCGCUGUGAAAGUCCAGGGCUCAACCCUGGAAGGCCGGUGGAAACUGUCGGGCUAGAGUCCGGAAGAGGCGAGUGGAAUUCCCGGUGUAGCGGUGAAAUGCGCAGAUAUCGGGAGGAACACCAAUGGCGAAGGCAGCACUCUGGUACAUGACUGACGCUGAGACGCGAAAGCGUGGGGAGCAAACAGG
rnacentral:rRNA from 1 species